rnacentral:misc_RNA from 1 species
UCCGAGUUGACCCCGGCAGUCUCCUGUGAGUCCCCAUCACCCCGAAGGGCAUGCUGGCAACACAGAACAAGGGUUGCGCUCGUUGCGGGACUUAACCCAACAUCUCACGACACGGGCUGACGACAGCCAUGCAGCACCUCGACUGGACCCCCUUGCGGGGUACCGGUGUUUCCACCGGCGUUGACCAGCCGUUCGAGCCCAGGUAAGGUUCUUCGCGUUGCGUCGAAUUGAACCACAUGCUCCACCGCUUGUGCGGGCCCCCGUCAAUUCCUUUGAGUUUCAGCCUUGCGACUGUACUCCCCAGGCGGGGUGCUUAACGCGUUAGCUGCGACACUGACGAGCAAGCUCGCCAACGUCUAGCACCCAUCGUUUACGGCGUGGACUAC